UACGUAGGGCGCAAGCGUUAAUCGGAAUUACUGGGCGUAAAGCGUGCGCAGGCGGUUCGCUAAGACAGAUGUGAAAUCCCCGGGCUUAACCUGGGAACUGCAUUUGUGACUGGCGGGCUAGAGUAUGGCAGAGGGGGGGUAGAAUUCCACGUGUAGCAGUGAAAUGCGUAGAGAUGUGGAGGAAUACCGAUGGCGAAGGCAGCCCCCUGGGCCAAUACUGACGCUCAUGCACGAAAGCGUGGGGAGCAAACAGG
rnacentral:rRNA from 1 species